CGCGGGGUGGAGCAGCCUGGUAGCUCGUCGGGCUCAUAACCCGAAGGUCGUCGGUUCAAAUCCGGCACCCGCAACCA
rnacentral:tRNA from 8 species